AUGGCAGCGGCGAUUCGGCAGGCGGCUAGGAGGUUGGCUGGCUUUGUUCUCCAGCGAACGAAAACGGAGGUGCCAAGGAGGCUCAUCCACGGCGGUCCGCCGGCAGCAGCCCCCUCUUCCCUCCGGCAUACCUCCUCCGGUGUUGAGCUUCCUUCUGCGAAAUCUGCUUUAGGGCAAGAUGGGAAGGCUUCUGCUUUGAGGGAAAUCAAGAAGAAGAGAGAAGAGUUGUUCGAUCUGAUUGCUGACACAGAAAGGCGAUACGACACUCGGCUUACCAAGGAAGGCUGUCAAAACACACGCAUGCUCCAGCAGCUUGCGGUUCAAAUCGAGCCUAGACCCAAUGACCCCUUGUGGCGGUCGAAACGGUUUUCGAAGAGACUCAAUGAUUUUCUGGGGUUAGCCGGGGCUGUUAUAUCAUCCUAUAUGCUUACGCGUAAGUGGCUUCACUUGGACCAAGAGGCAGAUCCAAAAGGGCAGAAGAGCUAA
rnacentral:rRNA from 1 species